rnacentral:rRNA from 1 species
UACGGAGGGGCGAGCGUUGUCCGAAGUUACUGGGCGUAAAGCGGGCGUAGGCGGGAGUUUAAGUCCGCUGUGAAAGCCCGGAGCUUUAACUCCGGAGGGUCGGUGGAGACUGGACUUCUUGAAGGGACUGAGGGGGAGAUGGAAUUACCGGUGUAGCGGUGAAAUGCGCAGAUAUCAGGAGGAACACCGGUGGCGAAGGCGGAUCUCUGGGCCAUUACUGACGCUGAGGUGCGAAAGCGUGGGGAGCAAACAGG